CCUAGUAACUGCGAGUGAAGAGGGAAAGCUCAAAUUUAAAUCUGGCAGCUUUGCUGUCCGAGUUGUAAUUUAGAGAAGUGUUACCCGCGUUUGGACCGUGUACAAGUCUCCUGGAAUGGAGCGUCAUAGAGGGUGAGAAUCCCGUCUUUGACACGGACUGCCAAGGCAUUGUGGUACGCUCUCAAAGAGUCGAGUUGUUUGGGAAUGCAGCUCUAAAUGGGUGGUAAAUUCCAUCUAAAGCUAAAUAUUGGCGAGAGACCGAUAGCAAACAAGUACCGUGAGGGAAAGAUGAAAAGAACUUUGGAAAGAGAGUUAAACAGUACGUGAAAUUGUUGAAAGGGAAACGCUUAAAGUCCAGUCGCGUUGGCUAAGAAUCAGCCUUGGUUUUUUCCUUGGUGCACUUCCUAGUUGACGGGUCAACAUCAGUUUUGACUGUUGGAUAAAGAUCAAGGGAAUGUGGCACCCUCGGGUGUGUUAUAGCUUUUGGUUGUAUACAACGGUUGGGACUGAGGAACUCAGCACGCCGCAAGGCCAGGUGUUUGUACCAUGUACGUGCUUAGGAUGUUGGC
rnacentral:rRNA from 1 species